ACUCAAAUGAAUUGACGGGGACUUGCACAAGCGGUGGAUCAUGUGGUUUAAUUCGUAGAUAAACGAAAAACCUUACCAGGGUUUGAAAUCCUAACGAAACUCUUUGGAAACAGAGAGCCUCGCAAGACGGUAGGACAGGUGGUGCAUGGCCGUCGUCAGUUCGUGGUUUGAAUUGUUCCCUUAAGUGGGGCAACGAACGCAACCCUCGUCGUCUGUUACAAGUGUCAGACGAGACUGCCCCCGCCAGAGUUCAUAAUAAUUUGUGAAUUGUGGCGGGGGAGGAAGGCGAGGAUGACGCCAGGUCCGUAUUCCCCUCUGAUAUCCUGGGCUACACACGUGAUACAAUCGCCACUACAACGGGAAGCAAUACGGUAACGUGGAGCAAAUCCUAAGAAAAGUGGCGCCAGUUCGGAUUGAGGUCUGCAACUCGACCUCAUGAAGCCGGAAUCGCUAGUAAUCGCGGGUCAGCUAUACCGCGGUGAAUACGUUCUCAAGUCUUGUACACACCGCCCGU
rnacentral:rRNA from 1 species